UUGUCUUAGAUUUGUCUAGAUACGAAUGUAUCUAGUCACGUUUUAGUAUUUGGAUACAUCCAUUUCUAAACAAACCUAAGACAAUAAUUUUGGGAUGGAGGGAGUAACAA
rnacentral:pre_miRNA from 1 species